rnacentral:tRNA from 1 species
AUCUUAUUAGUUUAAAUAAAAUAUAACUUUGAAGAAGUUAAGAUUAAAAAGAUA